rnacentral:rRNA from 1 species
GACGAACGCUGGCGGCGUGCUUAACACAUGCAAGUCGAACGGGCAGGCCCUGGUUUUGUUUGUUACUCGAGUGGCGAACGGGUGAGUAACACGUGAGUAACCUGCCCUUGACUUUGGGAUAACUUUAGGAAACUGGGGCUAAUACCGCAUAGGAGCUCCUGCUGCCAUGUGGGGGAGGGAAAGGUUCGGCGGUUGGGUGUGGUCUCGCGGCGUAUCAGAUUGUUGGUGGGGUGGUGGCAUACCACGGCUUUGACGGGUGGGCGACCUGAGGUGGGGACCUGCCACAUCAGAACUGGGAUACGGCACAGCCUAGUACGGGACGCAGCGGUGGGGAAGAUUGCACAGUGGGCGGAAGCAAGCUGCGGUUCCGCCGCGUGCGGGAUAACGGCCUUCGGGUUGUAUUCCACUUUCGUCUGUGACGAAGCGUUAGUGACGGUAAUGAGUAAAGAAGCAACGGCUAACUACGUG